UUACGUUAAGGAUUGAAACGGCAUCCUUUUUUCUUUUUCUAAAAAAAGAUAUAGUGGAAAGCCUGACCUACU
rnacentral:sRNA from 1 species